UAGACCGCCUGGGGAGUACGGCCGCAAGGUUAAAACUCAAAUGAAUUGACGGGGGCCCGCACAAGCGGUGGAGCAUGUGGUUUAAUUCGAUGCAACGCGAAGAACCUUACCUGGUCUUGACAUCCACGGAAGAAUUCAGAGAUGGAUUUGUGCCUUCGGGAACCGUGAGACAGGUGCUGCAUGGCUGUCGUCAGCUCGUGUUGUGAAAUGUUGGGUUAAGUCCCGCAACGAGCGCAACCCUUAUCCUUUGUUGCCAGCGGUUAGGCCGGGAACUCAAAGGAGACUGCCAGU
rnacentral:rRNA from 1 species